UGGGGAAUUUUGGACAAUGGGCGAAAGCCUGAUCCAGCAAUGCCGCGUGUGUGAAGAAGGCCUUCGGGUUGUAAAGCACUUUUGUCCGGAAAGAAAUCCUUGGCUCUAAUACAGUCGGGGGAUGACGGUACCGGAAGAAUAAGCACCGGCUAACUACGUGCCAGCAGCCGCGGUAAUACGUAGGGUGCAAGCGUUAAUCGGAAUUACUGGGCGUAAAGCGUGCGCAGGCGGUUUGCUAAGACCGAUGUGAAAUCCCCGGGCUCAACCUGGGAACUGCAUUGGUGACUGGCAGGCUAGAGUACGGCAGAGGGAGGUAGAAUUCCACGUGUAGCAGUGAAAUGCGUAGAGAUGUGGAGGAAUACCGAUGGCGAAGGCAGCCCCCUGGGCCAAUACUGACGCUCAUGCACGAAAGCGUGGGGAGCAAACAGGAUUAGAUACCCUGGUAGUCCACGCCCUAAACGAUGUCAACUAGUUGUUGGGGAUUCAUUUCUUAGUAACGUAGCUAACGCGUGAAGUUGACCGCCUGGGGAGUACGGUCGCAAGAUUAAAACUCAAAUGAAUUGACGGGGUCAUAGCUGUUUCCU
rnacentral:rRNA from 1 species